rnacentral:rRNA from 1 species
GCGCGAAAACUUUACAAUGCGGGAAACCGUGAUAAGGGAAUCUCGAGUGCCAGCAUAUAAUGUUGGCUGUCCAGAUGCCUAAAAAGCAUCUGUUAGCAAGGGCCGGGCAAGACCGGUGCCAGCCGCCGCGGUAACACCGGCGGCCCGCGUGGUAACCGCUUUUAUUGGGUCUAAAGGGUCUGUAGCCGGCCAAGUAAGUCCCUUGGGAAAUCUGGCAGCUUAACUGUCAGGCUGCUAGGGGAUACUGCUAGGCUUGGGACCGGGAGAGGUGAGAGGUACCUUGGGGGUAGGGGUGAAAGCUUGUGAUCCUCGGGGGACCACCAGUGGCGAAGGCGUCUCACCAGAACGGGUCCGACGGUAAGGGACGAAAGCUAGGGGCACGAA